GCCUUCUUGGUGUAGUGGUCAGCAUGCUCGACGCGUAACCGAGAGGUCCAUGGUUCGAUUCCCGGCGAAGGCG
rnacentral:tRNA from 1 species